GCACCAGUAGAGUAGUAGUUAACUUAUUUCCCUCCCAUUUAUUCUAUCAUAGAGCAAAAGGAAGGAAAGGACCUGGGUGCAAAUCCUGGCUGGUGCA